rnacentral:ncRNA from 2 species
AUUAUUAGUAUUGGAUUAUCCCGUAUAUAAUCGAUAAUAUGGUUCGAAAGUCUCUACCUACUUACCUUAAAUGAGUAGACUACGGGUGCUUAUUAAAUUGAU